CAUUAGAUCCUGUGAGAAGGAUCUGGACUUCUUCCAUCCCAUGUUGGAGAUCUGAUAGGGAAUUGUUGACCUCGGAGUUCUGGGCCUCCAAAGGCACUCCAAUUCCCUGUGAUCUUCUUGAGAGUUGGGAUAUAGUCCUUGGUGUCCAUACUGAUAGUCCUUGGUGAGAAUCCGGGAGUCUCCAGGGUUGUGAUACGAGCCUCCUCCUGUCCUCCUGCAAAGCUCUCUUUCAACUGAAUUCAUCUUCCACUUGGAUUUUAUUUCUCAGUAUUCCCUGAGAGGUUUAUUAAGAACAAAAAAGGAUUUUGGCAAGCAGAUCUAGUUAACUAAAUGAGUGAUGGCCAUUCAUUUGUUCGUUCAAAAGCCACCUGCGGCUCGUGGGAAAGGGAUGUUUCCAAAACGGUUGCCAAGAGAACCAGCAGAUUGCCUGGAAGCUUGCUGUUGUGUCAAGGCCACAGGAAAACAAGGACUCAGGUACUCCUCACAGACACACACAAUGGGCACCAGUUGCUGAUACAGAUCAAAUUUUACAAUGUAUUUAUUGUGGCUUCAGGAAAAUGUGACUUCUGAAAAAUUAACCCACAGGUAUGCUUGACCUAAUGAAACAGUGCAUAUAUACCACGGCAUGGUUUAUAAUAGGAACAAACUGGAAACAUCAGUUUUGUGGUAAGUAGAAAUAUUCAGACAAUGAAAUGCUAACAGAUGUUAAAAAUGAGAACGCUUCCUAUAUAUCCUAAAUAUUGGAAUGGGAAGUUGCAGAAUCAUGCUAUCUCUCAUAUAAAAGCAAAGAACACUUAUAGAAUGUGUAUUUUCCUUUCCAUACA